UUUUUUUUUCUACAUUUUUUUCACAUUCCCUGCGAAUACCUGUGCGCACGGACCGACAAAUUUCAUCGCAGUAUUGAAGAUGAGAAAACGCGGAAUUUGGGGCGUCGCGACGCAGGCGCUUGUACAAAACGCCCUCGCGUAGUCAGCCAUCGCUGCGUAGUCAUGGAAACCGUGGAUAAGGUUCCGGAGGAUUCAGAAAGCGCUAUUGAUCAGGACGAAGAGGAAAUGUAUCAGGUAAAGCUGCGGAGUCGCGGUGCGCCGUUUCCAUGAUAUGUGUAUCGAUAAAAUAAAAUGAACUUCGG
rnacentral:misc_RNA from 1 species